AUGCGGCCCAAGCCCCCUCGAAGCUGUAGAGGAGGUGGAAGGACUAGAGGUUAGAGGAGACCCCGCAUUUGCA
rfam:Japanese encephalitis virus isolate Vellore P20778, complete genome.